rnacentral:rRNA from 1 species
GACGAACGCUGGCGGCGUGCUUAACACAUGCAAGUCGAACGGAAAGGCCCUGCUUUUGUGGGGUGCUCAUGUGGCGAACGCGUGAGUAACACGUGAGUAACCUGCCCUUUACUUUGGGGUAACUUCAGGAAACUGGGACUAAUACCGGACAUGAGCUCCUUCUGCAUGGUGGGGAUUGUAAAGUGUCGGCGGUUGGGGAUGGACUCGAGGCUUAUCGGCUUGUUGGUGGGGUAGUGGCUUACCAAGGCUUUGACGGGUAGCCGGCCUGAGAGGGUGACCGGCCACAUUGGGACUGAGAUACGGCCAAGACUCAUACGGGAGGCAGCAGUGGGGAAUAUUGCACAAUGGGCGGAAGCCGUAUGCAGCAACGCCGCGUGCGGGAUGACGGUCUGCGGGUUGGAAACCGCUUUCGCCUGUGACGAAGCGUGAGUGACGGUAAUGGGUAAAGAAGCACCGGCUAACUACGUG